UCCCUGGAGGACUAGUGGUUGGGCUACAGCACUGUCACCGCUGCGGCCCAGGUUUGAUUCCUGGCCAGGGAA
rnacentral:tRNA from 1 species